UACGGAGGAUGCAAGCGUUAUCCGGAUUCAUUGGGUUUAAAGGGUGCGCAGGCGGAAUGAUAAGUCAGUGGUGAAAUCUCUCAGCUUAACUGAGAAACUGCCAUUGAUACUGUCGUUCUUGAGUACAGUUGAAGUGGGCGGAAUGUGUCAUGUAGCGGUGAAAUGCUUAGAUAUGACACAGAACACCGAUAGUGAAGACAGCUCACUAAGCUGUAACUGACGCUCAUGCACGAAAGCGUGGGGAUCAAACAGGAUUAGAAACCCCUGUAGUCC
rnacentral:rRNA from 1 species